UGAUGAUACUGGAAAUGGUUGGAGUAAGAAACACCUCACCUUCGUGCAAUAAGAGUGACAGUGAAUACUAUUUUCCACAUUGGAUUUAUGAGCAUUACAAUCAAAUUGGCCAUAUGGAAGGAUUCAGUGUAACUAUUUUGUCAGAAGAGAUUGCAAAGAAGAUGAUUUUGGUGGGGUUGUGGUGCAUCCAAACAAAUCCUGAGAGUCGGCCAUCGAUGAGCAAGGUGGUUGAUAUGCUGCAAUGCAGCAUUGAUGACUUGGAUAUGCCACCAAAGCCAACACUUUCAUCUUCUUAGUAUCAUUUUGUUCUGUGCGAGGUGGCAUUCUGAUAAUUUGGAAAAGUUUGGAGCCUACAAUCAAUUGCUCCAUCAAACGUUUAUAUGAAGCUUAAAGCCGCACGAUCCUAAGUGAUCAACAAGCCUUGUUAUUAUUUUUGCGGCAGCUUUCAAACAGAUGCAUCCUCGUUUUUACUAUAAAUCUUUGUUUGGCCUGACGGAAUUGAAAUAGAUAAAUUGGAGAUUAAAAAAGGUUAAAGAAUUUAAUUGAAAAUACUUUUCACUUAUUAGGUGAGGAGAAAUUGGGUGAGAAAAUAAUAAUUAUUAUUUUUAUUAAGAAAAUAGCUAAGAAAUGAAGUAUGAACAAAGCCUAAUUGUAUUUAAGCUUCAGUUUUACAGUGGAUGUGUUUCUUCUCUUAAA